AGAGUUUGAUCCUGGCUCAGGAUGAACGCUAGCUACAGGCUUAACACAUGCAAGUCGAGGGGAAACGACAUCGAAAGCUUGCUUUUGAUGGGCGUCGACCGGCGCACGGGUGAGUAACGCGUAUCCAACCUGCCCACCACUUGGGGAUAACCUUGCGAAAGUAAGACUAAUACCCAAUGACGUCUCUAGAAGACAUCUGAAGGAGAUUAAAGAUUUAUCGGUGAUGGAUGGGGAUGCGUCUGAUUAGCUUGUUGGCGGGGUAACGCCACAAGGCGACGAUCAGUAGGGUCUGAGAGGAAGGUCCCCACACUUGGAACUGAGACACGGUCCAAAACUCCUACGGGAGGCA
rnacentral:rRNA from 1 species